CCUACUCUCCAUCAACUCAUCAACUCAACAGUAUAUAUACCCCGGCUCUCAAUCCACUCGCCAGAUCGUUCUUUCAGCUACGGUUCACCCACCUGCCUUCUUGGAUUCAAAGCCUCUCAAUCAACCAGGCUCACAUCGCAACUCUGCUCUGAUCAGCCGUCUCCCUUUCACUCUGCAGACCUUGUGAAUCAUCGUCUCAUCUCCCUUCCUCUGCAAUAAACCUCAUUACAAGUCAA